CUUAUAUCACUGCCCGGAAACGACCACUGUGAGGCGAACAGAAGUACCCGAAGGAAGACGGGGGCACUAAAAAUUGACACGGGGCGGAAAAUAUUUGGCCGACCAUAAUCCGCAAAAAAUUUUGCGGAAAACGGACGGGAGGAGCAGUUUCGGUCGCAAUUCUACGACGAAAAUGAUAUCGCGUGAGGUUGAACGUUAGCGAGCGCAGCCAGCGGAAAUUGGGGUUUGUUUAACGGAUCGAAAGCGAUGGAGAGGCCUGCGAGAGUGUUUUUCCACGGGAUGGGGAAAAAUGACCUGCUAACCUGAAAUCGGAUACCGCCUUUGUGCACAUCUACGCUUUCGGCGCCCUUUUUAGCAUUAUUAUUUUCACGCUUUGCUCUUCGAGAGGACUUACUCCGUUCACGAGCAGAGGGAUGUGAUUGAGAAAGGGAAUUCGGCUCUCCCCCUCUCCCUCAUCCCCUUCACAGUCAACACAAAUAUCGCGGAUCAGCGCUUUUCUUUCAACCUGCAGAGGCUUUGGACUGACAGGGUGCCCACAGAAGAGAGAAGAACUACUUGGUCAUACCACUGUGCUGUGUUUGUGGUCUCUCCAGCUGAGGUGUUAAAGACAAAGGUUGAAUAGACUCUGUGGACUAUCUAACCUGUCACCUUUUAACUCCCGACUUGAACGAUUGAAAUUUGCUCACCACAAUUUUCUCUUUAAAUGAGGACAUUUCUGAGAAGUCACAAAGUGGAACCAUUUUAUUCAGAACUUGUCAAAGGAAUACACAAAUAGCAAGGCAGGCAGACAUUCUCUCAUCGCUUCUGUUUUAAAUGGCUUUCAACACUAAAGGAUUUGCUUUUUAGUGAUAAACACAUUUUGUAAAAACAUAUUUCAUAUGGUAGUAUUAGACAUGUUUUUACUGUUUUAAUUGUAGAUAUAGUCAUUUGGAAGACCAACGCAGACCUGUGUUUAUUGCAUGAUAUUGUAAACCAACUUUUUUUCUUAUUUAUAGAUUAUUAUUUAA